GUGCUUGUUUUGGCAGCACAUGUGCUAAACUUGGAACAAUAUGGAGAUUAGCAUGGUCCCUAUGCAAGAAUGACAUGUAAAUUUGUGAAGUGUUCCAUAUUUUU